rnacentral:rRNA from 1 species
AGAGUUUGAUCAUGGCUCAGAACGAACGCUGGCGGCAUGCCUAACACAUGCAAGUCGAACGAAGUCUUCGGACUUAGUGGCGCACGGGGUGCGUAACGCGUGGGAAUCUGCCCUUGGGUGCGGAAUAACUUCUCGAAAGGGAUGCUAAUACCGCAUAAUGUCGUAAGACCAAAGAUUUAUCGCCCAAGGAUGAGCCCGCGUAAGAUUAGCUAGUUGGUGGGGUAAAAGCCUACCAAGGCGACGAUCUUUAGCUGGUCUGAGAGGAUGAUCAGCCACACUGGGACUGAGACACGGCCCAGACUCCUACGGGAGGCAGCAGUGGGGAAUAUUGGACAAUGGGCGAAAGCCUGAUCCAGCAAUGCCGCGUGAGUGAUGAAGGCCCUAGGGUUGUAAAGCUCUUUUACCAGGGAUGAUAAUGACAGUACCUGGAGAAUAAGCUCCGGCUAACUCCGUG